rnacentral:rRNA from 1 species
AGGACGAACGCUGGCGGCGUGCUUAACACAUGCAAGUCGAGCGGUAAGGCCUCCUUCGGGGGGUACACGAGCGGCGAACGGGUGAGUAACACGUGGGUGACCUGCCCUCAGCUCUGGGAUAAGCCUGGGAAACCGGGUCUAAUACCGGAUAGGACUGCUUGCCGCAUGGUGGGUGGUGGAAAGUUUUUUCGGCUGGGGAUGGGCCCGCGGCCUAUCAGCUUGUUGGUGGGGUGAUGGGCUACCAAGGCGGUGACGGGUA